AGAACGAACGCUGGCGGCAUGCCUAACACAUGCAAGUCGAACGAGACCUUCGGGUCUAGUGGCGCACGGGUGCGUAACGCGUGGGAAUCUGCCCUUAGGUACGGAAUAACAGUGAGAAAUUACUGCUAAUACCGUAUGAUGUCUUCGGACCAAAGAUUUAUCGCCUAGGGAUGAGCCCGCGUUGGAUUAGCUAGUUGGUGGGGUAAAGGCCUACCAAGGCGACGAUCCAUAGCUGGUCUGAGAGGAUGAUCAGCCACACUGGGACUGAGACACGGCCCAGACUCCUACGGGAGGCAGCAGUGGGGAAUAUUGGACAAUGGGCGAAAGCCUGAUCCAGCAAUGCCGCGUGAGUGAAGAAGGCCUUAGGGUUGUAAAGCUCUUUUACCCGGGAAGAUAAUGACUGUACCGGAGAAUAAGCCCGGCUAACUCCGUGCCAGCAGCCGC
rnacentral:rRNA from 1 species